rnacentral:tRNA from 1 species
GGGCAGUUAGUCCAAAAAAGACACUUGAUUUCGGCUCAAGAAAUUGAAGUUAAAAUCUUCAACUACCCU